rnacentral:sRNA from 1 species
GAGUGAGGCGUCGUCCGUGCUGGAGGCAGGCUCCGGUCGCGGCCGCGGCGAGUUAACAUCGUUUUUCCAAUCUGUCCGCGGCUGCCGCCGCGCAAGACAGAGCCAGAAUGUUCAGGAUGCUGAGCAGCAGUUUUGAGGAUGACCCCUUCUUCUCGUGAGUUACGGGAGCCAGGAGUCCGCGGUCGCGCGGGAAUUAAGUGAGUCCAUUCUUGCACACCGAGAAAAUAUGCGACAGAUGAUGAGAAGUUUUACUGAACCCUUUGGAAGAGACUUGCUCAGUAUCUCUGAUGGUAGAGGGAGAGUUCAUAAUCGUAGAGGACAUAAUGAUGGUGAAGAUUCUUUGACUGCAACGAGUUGUUCUCUUGUGCGUUUUGGCGAUUUUGGUGCAUACAGAUGUCAGCUCUUUGCAGACAGUGGACCAAAUGGUGUCAAAUAUGAGAAACUAUAUGCAGAAAUUAGAAAGAAACUUUGGUCAACUUUCAGUGGAUCCAAAUGGACAUUCAUUUUGUUCUUCCUCAGUUAUGACUUAUUCCAAAAUAGGAGAUGAACCGCCAAAGGUUUUUCAGGCCUCAACUCAAACUCGUCGAGCUCCAGGAGGAAUAAAGGAAACUAGGAAAGCAAUGAGAGAUUCUGACAGUGGACUAGAAAAAAUGGCUAUUGGUCAUCAUAUCCAUGACCGAGCUCAUGUCAUUAAAAAGUCAAAGAACAAGAAGACUGGAGAUGAAGAGGUCAACCAGGAGUUCAUCAAUAUGAAUGAAAGUGAUGCUCAUGCUUUUGAUGAGGAGUGGCAAAGUGAGGUUUUGAAGUACAAACCAGGACGACACAAUCUAGAAAACACUAGAAUGAGAAGUGUUGGCCAUGAGAAUCCUGGCUCCCGAGAACUUAAAAGAAGGGAGAAACCUCAACAAAGUCCAGCCAUUGAACAUGGAAGAAGAUCAGAUGUUUUGGGGGACAAACUCUACAUCAAAGGCUCAUCUGUGAAAAGCAACAAAAAAUAAAUAGCCAUGCAUUUGAUUUGUUUAGUUUUGGUUGUUUUAACAGUUAGUAAUGGUGCUGGGUAAUAAGCAUAAGACCAAUCUCUUGCUGUUAAAUCAGUUCUGUCCUUGGCAACUUUCUUGUGAUAUCUGAAUGUUCAUGAAGGUCCUAGCUUUAUAUUGUCCCCCUUUAGGAAUAAAAUUUUGAUUUUCAACAGUGUGAGUAAAUUGUGAAACAGUCUAUUUAAUAUAAAACUCUUUAAAACAUACCAAUUUUUUAAAGCUUAUAUGCUGAUUUCGCUUCCCCAGUUGUUUUUUUGUUGGCUAGGUAUUCUUUUAUAUUUAUCAAGAUUGAUUGCAGAGCAGUUCUAUCACUUAUAAUUAGUUAUAAGAAAUUAUAAUGUUAAAGUCUCAGUUUUUACAACACUGUACUAGAGUUAUAUUAAUAAAGGUUUAAAUAAUUUAUCUCUAAUUUUAUAAUGUGUUGUAAAGCCAGCUAGCUUAAAACUUUAAAAAUAAUAAAGCAAAACUGCACUAGUACCCUUUUAUGAGAAAAUAUUAUUUUGAUGAAGGGCAAGAAUAAUCAAAUAGUUCAUUUUCAGAGAAAAAUAUUUUAAAUUACAAUGUACAUGAUUGUUUUGGUUAUAAUUUAUUUAUAGAAUGUAUCUUUUCUAUAUUACAUUCUUAAUAUUCACCAGAUAUCAUAUUGACCAUUCUCUUUAACUUCUUAGUGUGGCAUAUUUCUACUCUCCUUUCCCACAAACAGCUUCAUCUAUCUCCAAGGUUAACAUUCUGAAGCUGGAGAGUCCUUGGAGAAACUCUGCUCAGCUUUUUUGUGACAUUUAGAAAAAUGCAUUUGGUAUUCUCCAAACCAGAAUGAUACAUUGUCUCAAAAUUUGUUAGACAGCUGAUGGGUGUUUUUGAGCAAUGUCUUAAUAAUUCAGUUGUUUCUGUUUUAAUUAUACCAUUAAAAAUCAGCUUUAGCUUUUUAAUUCUGGAAUUUAAGCAUCAAUCUGUUUUCAUAAAAGUUAGGUUUGAAGUUUAUAAGAAUAUAAAAUCUUAACUCACGUUUGUUGUUUAAUAUUUCUAUCAAGGAAAAAAGCCCCCAAAAAUUGCUAUCACUCUAUAAUUCUAAGUAUUUUUCUUUUCAAUUUCGUAAGUAAAAUUAUAUGACCUAUGUUUAUACUUCUCUAAUUUUUUAUAUAAUAUUUUUGUUAAUUUUACUAGUUUGUGUUUUAUGCCUUUAGUCAUUAAAAUAAAAUGCAAAUGUGUUAAUUCAUUGUUGAAAUUAAGCAUGUAUUAGUUAAAAAUGUCCUUUUAGGCAUACUUUAGUAUACUCCUAACAUACCAUAACACAUUGGGAAAUUGUCAUAAGGCACAAAUUUUAAAUAACAUCUUGAUAUAAAUUAACCUGAUAGAGCAAAGUCUUAAGAAAGUACAUACUUUAUUUUCCUUUUGCCUAAAUCAUUACACUGAUGAUAACUUGAAUCAUUGUAGUCAAAUCUAAAAACACGCUUUAAUAAAUAAUUGUGUUUAACAGUAUAAUUCCUGUACAUCAGAUUGCAGUUAGACAUUGUGGUGAGGCAGAAUUUGAGACGGUAGUACUGAGAAAAGUUCUUUCUUUCUUAAAAGUCAACUCUAUCUUUGCACCAUAAAAAAAACUAUCAAUAUCUAUACCCCAGAAUAAUAUUUGUUUGCAACAACUUCUUAUGAUUGGUGUUUAAUACUGUUAGUCUGUAAAUUGAAACUAUUUAAAACUAUAUACAUGCUGGGCGCAUUGGCUCAUGCCUGUAAUCCCAGCACUUUGGGAGGCUGAGGCAGGUGGAUUGCUUGAGGUCAGUUCAAGACCAGCCUGACCAACAUGGCGAAACCCUGUCUCUACUAAAUAUACAAAAAUUAGGCGGGUGUGGUGGCGGGCACCUAUAAUCCCAGCUACUCAGGAGGCUGAGGCAGGAGAAUUGCUGGAACCUGGGAGGUGGAGGUUGCAGUGAGCCGAGGUCGCAUCUCUGCACUCCAGCCUGGGCAACAGAGCAACAGAGCGGGACUCCAUCUCAAAAAAAAAACAAAAAAACAAAA